AAAGUCGUAACAAGGUUUCCGUAGGUGAACCUGCGGAAGGAUCAUUAACAAAUCCCAGUGGGUUACGAGUUUGAAGAAAUUCAAGCCCGUACCUGCUAAUAUUAUAUAUUCACCCCUAGUGGUCCGGUGGACCCUUUGGGCUCUUGAUCGUGAGAUCAAGGCAUCUAUCUAUAUACAUAGACGCACCUGUAUGUUUGUAUGACAGUUUGACACUAAAAUAAUAAAUGACAACUUUUAACAAUGGAUCUCUUGGCUCUU
rnacentral:misc_RNA from 1 species